rnacentral:misc_RNA from 1 species
ACGCGACCUGAUUGACCUCGAAAAGCCUUCUGCUGCUGUCGGAGGGACGCAUAUCCUGCGGCGAUGCCGACAUGACCUUAAUAAUUGGGAAGCCAUGCAAGGGCUGCAGAAUAAGGACAUGUACCCGUGGCAAAAAGGAAGCUUCUCCUGCUCUUCCUCGGCAAGGAAAAGAGGGGAAGGUGGCACUGCAGAUUCUGAACAGGAAUCAACCGCACGGCUCGGCUUUGUAUGUUACUACUUUUUCUGGGCUCUGUGUGCUGCUGCUGAGACCAUGUUCUCGAGGAUCAAAUCACAGGCUCAGAGGUGGAACAGGCGAACUGAUUUGUAGCUUUCACCCUUUUAUUCCUAGUGCAUGUAUCUUAUGACUGCUAGAUGAAGAUUUUACUUGUCUUUGAAGACAGAUGUCAGUGUGCUGCAAUCUUCGUAUGAUACUAUUCUGCACUAGUUCUCAGAGCAGAUGGAUGACACAUGGCCACCAAGAUUGCUUGAAGCAAUUGCCUGCGAAUUGUGAGCUACUGUGAACGAGUCAUAUGGCAACAAGUGGUGAACUUUAUAAAUGAUGUUACUUCUACGCUCGACGUUCGGAUUAAAGACAUACAGCUAUUCAGACUGUUGCAGCUGUAAUUUAUAGAGACAAUAUAUUGUAGAAGCAGUAAGAGCCAGUACAGAUUAAAGCCAAACGAACAUACUAAAUGUAUUUGAAUAACUACUAAAUAGUACUCUUUCCAUAGU